CGCACAUUGCGCCCCUUGGUAUUCCGAGGGGCACGCCUGUUCGAGCGUCAUUUAAACCAUCAAGCCCGGCUUGGUAUUGGACGCGGUCGAGUGACCCGUCCGUAACCCGUUGGCGGUGCAGUCCGGCUUCGAGCGUAGCAAAACCCUCGCUUCAGGAGUCGGUACAGUGCCCGCCAGGUAAUGGCCACCUUUUAAAGUUUGACCUCGGAUCAGGUGGGGAUACCCGCUGAACUUAA
rnacentral:misc_RNA from 1 species